rnacentral:misc_RNA from 1 species
AGGAAAUUCAGCCAUGACUUCAAGCAGGCUUUUCUGGCUACCAACCACAGACUGGGAAUAUUCAUCCUUCCCAGCAGGUGAUGCAAGAUAUCUUAAUCGGUCAGCCUCUACAGGAUUUGAAGCAUGUGCUGCUAAUGCGAGCAAUGCUGACUUUUUGGGUGAAUUCAAAAGAUCUGCAUAUCGAGUCAACGCUGUUCUGAGGGUGCAGGAUGGAAAAGGAGGUGGUAAAGAG